GAUGAACGCUGGCGGCGUGCCUAAUACAUGCAAGUCGAACGAGUUUUGGUCGAUGAACGGUGCUUGCACUGAGAUUCGACUUAAAACGAGUGGCGGACGGGUGAGUAACACGUGGGUAACCUGCCCUUAAGUGGGGGAUAACAUUUGGAAACAGAUGCUAAUACCGCAUAAAUCCAAGAACCGCAUGGUUCUUGGCUGAAAGAUGGCGCAAGCUAUCGCUUUUGGAUGGACCCGCGGCGUAUUAGCUAGUUGGUGAGGUAACGGCUCACCAAGGCGAUGAUACGUAGCCGAACUGAGAGGUUGAUCGGCCACAUUGGGACUGAGACACGGCCCAAACUCCUACGGGAGGCAGCAGUAGGGAAUCUUCCACAAUGGACGCAAGUCUGAUGGAGCAACGCCGCGUGAGUGAAGAGGGUUCGGCUCGUAAGCUCUGUUGG
rnacentral:rRNA from 1 species